AUUGAACGCUGGCGGCAUGCCUUACACAUGCAAGUCGAACGGUAACGCGGGGCAACCUGGUGACGAGUGGCGAACGGGUGAGUAAUGUAUCGGAACGUGCCCAGUUGUGGGGGAUAACUGCUCGAAAGAGCAGCUAAUACCGCAUACGACCUGAGGGUGAAAGCGGGGGAUCGCAAGACCUCGCGCAAUUGGAGCGGCCGAUAUCAGAUUAGGUAGUUGGUGGGGUAAAGGCUCACCAAGCCGACGAUCUGUAGCUGGUCUGAGAGGACGACCAGCCACACUGGGACUGAGACACGGCCCAGACUCCUACGGGAGGCAGCAGUGGGGAAUUUUGGACAAUGGACGCAGGUCUGAUCCAGCCAUGCCGCGUGCGGGAAGAAGGCCUUCGGGUUGUAAACCGCUUUUGUACGGAGCGAAAAGGCUCCCUCUAAUACAGGGGGCUCAUGACGGUACCGUAAGAAUAAGCACCGGCUAACUACGUGCCAGCCGCCGCGGUAAGAC
rnacentral:rRNA from 1 species